rnacentral:lncRNA from 1 species
UUUUUGAAUGUUCUACAACCGUUGAGUUAAGUGACCGGAUGAGGGUCACCAAACUUAGAAGGUGCAUUCCUUUAUUUUUUUUUCUUUUCGGAACACUCACUUAUAUUCAUCGGCUUCCCUACGUAGAGUGUGUGUGAGAUGGUGCUGACUGCUGAAAUAAACUACUCAAAAGCUGUCAGAGGAUGAGAAUAUAAGGCUAAAACAUAAUAAAAAUUCAACUCAAUUUCCAUAUGCAGGAGACUUACGGUGUUAAAACAAUAUCGAUCUUGUGAAUUUUUCCCAAGUCUCCACAAACCAACCUCAAAUUAUUCUAUAGCCUAAAACUUUCAACAAAAAUGUAAUAAUUUUUUUUUUUUAGAAAGAAAACAAAAACAAAACAAAACAAAGAACAAAAACAAAGAAAAUAAAGUAUUUCUUCCCCCACACUUAAAAUAUGCAUUGUCCUCAAUGAAAGAAACAAACAUAAAAUAAGAGAGAGAAGAGAGAGGAAAGAACACACCCGAGUAGUCAAGGAGGAUAGGUG